GCGGUGUAGCUCAGUUGGCUAGAGCGUCCGGUUCAUACCCGGAAGGUCAGGGGUUCAAAUCCCUUCGCCG
rnacentral:tRNA from 1 species